GUGCUCACUUUGGCAGCACAGAUACUAAAACAGGAAUGAUACAGAGAAGAUUAGCAUGGCCCCUGCGCAAGAAUGACAAGCAAAUUUGUGAAGCAAUCCAUAUUUUU
rnacentral:snRNA from 1 species